GAAUUUUAUAUAAAUUAAUUAUAAGGUAAGUUAUUGGAUAGCUAAUUUAUAUUUGAUUGGGAGGAUUAUUAAAUUAAAUGAACUUUAAUUAGAUAAAUAAUAUGAAUUAAUGAAUUUAAGAAUGGUUAGUAAAUUAAAUAAGAAUUAAUUACCUUAGGGAUAACAGCGUAAUAUUUUUGGAGAGUUCCUAUUAAUAAAAAUGUUUGC
rnacentral:rRNA from 1 species